UUUCGGCCAAAUUUUAGUGUCUUUAAGUAGACGAUUCGCAAUUGUGAUCGGAAUUUUUAUCAGAAGAAUCAAACGCAGACAUUUGAUUCGAUUAAUCAAAGUUUUUCUGUUUCAAAAAUUGCAAUUUUUUGUGGAAACUUCUAUUUCGUUUCAAUGCUAGU